AUUGAACGCUAGCGGGAUGCUUUACCCAUGCAAGUCGAACGAGUGGCGGACGGGUGAGUAAUAUAUCAGAACGUGCCCAGUAGCGGGGGAUAACUACUCGACAGAGUGGCUACUACCGCAUACUAUAGGAGCGGCCGAUAUCGGAUUAGCUAGUUGGUGGGGUAAAGGCUCACCAAGGCAACGACCCGUAGCUGGUUUGAGAGAACGACCAUCCACACUGGGACUGAGACACGACCCAGACUCCUACGGGAGGCAGCAGUGGGGAAAUUUGGACAAUGGGUGAAAGCCUGAUCCAGCCAUCCCGCGUGUAUGAGAAGGCCUUCGGGUUGUAAAGUACUUUUGGCAGAGAAGCGGUAUCUGCAGAAUAAGCACCGGCUAACUACGUGCCAGCCGCCGCGGUAAUUC
rnacentral:rRNA from 1 species